UGACAUCAUGUGGAGCAGGUCAUGUGAUCUGGAAUUAACACACUUCCUUGAGAGGUGUUUUUGUAAUGGGGAACUUAGUUGAAGUGAUUUCUGGAACACAGAUACAAUUUGUUAUUUUCCAUGUAACCAGGUGGUAAACAGAGGCAAUAAAACAAACUGAAAACCCCUGAAAUCCCAGUUUAUGGCUCUUCUGCUGAUUUUCAUUUUGGACAGCAGGGGGCGUAUUUUUAUGGUUGUAUUCGGUAGUUUUGAGGUCAAAGGCAAGAUACCGGAAGUUGUGGUAGAGAUGGUCGCGGAUCGGGACAGUAAGAAAGUGAGUACCGAGGGUUAGAGAAUGAAAACACUGCACACGUGCCGCCGGUGUUCCAGUUUAACUGGGUGCUAAUCGUCCGUGUGCGAGAGAUCAGACGCUCGCCCUGCAACUUAACUUAACUAACCCAGAGAUGGAGGGAUGAAGAGACGGAGGAAGAGCAGAGUGGCCACAGCAGAGGGAGCGAGAUGUGACAGCGAUGGGAUGCUCUGAGGCUGUGUGGAUCAGGCCGAGGUCAGUGGCUUGCUGAUCCUCUACUGCACCCUCCAAACUUGACGGAUUGAAGCUUUGAGAAGAAGACUCUCUCUGCGUCUGUGAUUAACAGCAUGGAGCAAAACAACCGACCACAAGGUAUCUAAUGCAGGCUCUUGCUGGGCAUUGUUGAAAAGAGAAGCAGCUUACAAGCCACAUGUCUGAAGAGACAAGUAGAAGAACAAAAAGAAUGAAUCUGUGCAAAGAGGCAAGUAAGAUGUAUGAAACAUCCAUGAACGUCACAGCACAGUCAGAGCCAUGUUGCUAUCGUAGCACUAAAAGCGGAUGAGUAAUCACAAAAAGCUGCCUUGGACUAUUUCAGCUCACUAUUGAGUUUAAACGUCAGUGAAUGGAAUACAGAUGCAACUGAUGACUCAUUGGAAAGCAGCAGUGCAGAGCAGGAGUCAAAGAAGUCCUGAGAUCAAACUCAUAUUUAACUUUUAAAAUAUAGAUCUUUCCAUCCUCUCACAUAAUGGCAGUUUUGUUGUAGUGAUUGUGUGACAACAUUGUUAUUCCAGUAAUGUCUUAUUUGCACUUGACACUGAUUUGUUGCGUUGUUUUCCAUUUUGAGCAAAACGGCAGGAAAAGUAUGUGCAGUUGUGUGUCCAAGAAAAGCCCUCGU